rnacentral:rRNA from 1 species
AUGAGCAGCUCGAUGAGCAUGGUGGAGGCAAGGCUGCCGCCGGGGUUCCGGUUCCACCCCAGGGACCACGAGCUCGUGCUGGACUACCUCUGCCACAAGCUCUCUGGCGGUGGUGGCCGCGCCGGCGGCGUGGACAUGGUCGACGUCGACCUCAACAAGUGCGAGCCAUGGGAGCUUCCAGACGCGGCGUGCGUGGGCGGCAAGGAGUGGUACUUCUUCAGCCGGCACGACCGCAAGUACGCGACCGGGCAGCGCACCAACCGCGCCACACACACCGGCUACUGGAAGGCCACGGGCAAGGACCGCGUCAUCACCGGCGACGGCGCGGCGGCGGUCGUCGGGAUGCGCAAGACGCUCGUCUUCUACCUGGGGAGAGCCCCCCGGGGAACCAAGACCGAGUGGGUCAUGCACGAGUUCCGCGCCGAGGGCCGCCCGCCGGCCCGCCGUCAGCUCGCCGACCACCCCCACGGCUCGCCGCCGUUUCUCCUCGAGGAGGACUGGGUGCUGUGCAGGGUGUUCUACAAAAGCACAACAGCUGCUCCAACACCGGCCUCCGACGAGUCAUCAGGUUCCCAGAGCAGCGAGGUCGGCAUGGCGCCGGCACUUCUGCCCAUAGCACCCAUCGACGCCGUUGGCCGCAUGCCCAUGGCUGCGAUCACCGACAGCUUCCGUGGGCACCAGGAGUACUCCACCAGCCUCCUCAUGGCCCCGCAGCACUGGCCGGUGGCGCCAUUGCCGUUCAGGAGCUUCAGGGACCUGCUAGGCGACAUGGUGGAAAGCAGCAGCGGUGACCCGAAGCCGGAGUGGAGCGUAGACGACGGCUAUACGCGGCACAGCGGCAUGCCGCAGGCUUGGAAUCCGUUCUGA